rnacentral:rRNA from 1 species
AUUGAACGCUGGCGGCAGGCCUAACACAUGCAAGUCGAACGAGUGGCGGACGGGUGAGUAAUGUCUGGGAAACUGCCCGAUGGAGGGGGAUAACUACUGGAAACGGUAGCUAAUACCGCAUACCAUCGGAUGUGCCCAGAUGGGAUUAGCUAGUAGGUGGGGUAACGGCUCACCUAGGCGACGAUCCCUAGCUGGUCUGAGAGGAUGACAAGCCACACUGGAACGGAGACAUGGUCCAGACUCCUACGGGAGGUAGGAGUGGGGAAGAGUGCACAAUGGGCGCAAGCCUGAUGCAGCCAUGCCGAGUGGAUGAAGAAGGCCUUAGGGUUGUAAAGUACUUUCAGCGAUGAGGCGUUACUCGCAGAAGAAGCACCGGCUAACUCCGUGCCAGCAGCCGCGGUAAUUC